UGGCCAAAAAAGAAAAAAAAACAAAAUAAAAAACCACGGUGGAUCCCCAGAACCAAAUUAAUAAGAGUCUGAAUUUGCAAAGAAAAGGACAAUGUAAAAUUGUGCCUUCCUCUCUCAACCAGGCACCACAGAGAGAGACCGGGGAGAAGUGACUGGUAAAAAGUCUCACGCUUUGCCAGCUUCCGCUAGCUCUCCCAGGAUGCCGUCUGCAGGCUCUAGAGAAGAGGAAGAGGAAUUUUUCUUCUCCCCUUUAUAGUGAGUCGUUGGCUGAGACUUCUCUUUUUCUAGGGCAUCUUGUAAAUGGAUAAGCUUACUGAAGUUGAAAGUUCUCCACUAUGGCCUCUCUAAUUCAAGAUUAUCUUUGAUAAGUUUAACCUGCUAGUUCAGCCUUAAAACACAAUUUUUUUCACCUGAGGCCUCAUACCGGCUCGCUCCGGCUCAAGUCAGAUCCAGGCGUGAGCCUUUCUACGUCAGACCAAUCAGCUUCCAUCAGGUUUCCGGACCCAGGCCAGAAAAAGGAAGGCUCAGAUGGUCGGAAAGCUCAUGAGGCAAGAGCUGCGGGUCCAGGAUCCAGGACCGCGAGGACUUGCCCAGCACCUCCGGAGGCAGCGAGAAAACAGCCAGCUCCAGGGACUCAGCAGGGAAACUCAAGAUUUAUAGUAAAUGAAUGACAGCAGUUCAAGAAUCACUUCUUCCUGUGGUACCUUCCGGAGGACGAAGGUAAAAAUCACCCAGAUACAGGGGUGAUUGAUGAGGUGUUCAGAGCCUCAGCAUCAGUGGCGACCACAGAGGAGUUGAGGACUUAAGAUCUUAUGGGAAAGAUAAGGUAUGAAGGUGAAACUGCCCAUUUUGUUCCCUGCUCUAUCUACAGUCAGACAUCAGAACAGUUCCUGGUUCCCAGUAAGCACUAAAUAGAUAAGAAAGGAGAAAGAGCAGAGGAGAGAAAAUUGAUGCCUGGAGCUAAGGCUGUAAGAAGGAGAUAAACAACAACAUCAAUUUAGAGAUGGGAAGUGGUAUGGACAGUGAAAGAGGAAGUGAGGAACAGGGCUGAACCUGAUUCACCACAAAUUGGAAAACCUGGGGAGCUGGACAGAAGUAUGUAUUACAGGCUCGUAGCACCGGAGGUUUCUGCCGGAGCAGACAACUUGAGGAAGGCUGGCCCUGCUGAACACAGUGGACUGAUCGGGUCUGGACCCCUCCUCCACAGGUGCGGACUUCAUCUUGGACAAGCAUCACUAUAUGGAUUGGCAUUUGAGAGGAAAAAAUACGUUGAGCGUGGAUUCCUUUUAUUGCCCUGCCUUGUGCAGAGGCUGCUGACCGCUGCUGGGUGAGGCUGUGUCACAAGGUGGCUGGCUGCAGAACCCUG